rnacentral:rRNA from 1 species
UACGAAGGGUGCAAGCGUUAUUCGGAAUUAUUGGGCGUAAAGGGCGCGUAGACGGUAUGUUAAGUCUGCUGUUAAAUUUUCCGGCCUAACCGGAAAUCUGCGGUGGAAACUGGCGUACUAGAGGAUGGAAGAGAGAAGUGGAAUUCUCGGAGUAGCGGUAAAAUGCGUAGAUCUCGAGAGGAACACCAAUGGCGAAGGCAGCUUCUUGGUCCAUGCCUGACGUUGAGGCGCGAAAGCGUGGGGAGCAAAC